ensembl:lncRNA
GUGUGUGUGUGUGUGUGUGUGUGUGUGUGUGUGUGUGUGUGCGUUCUCCAUGGGGGCCAGACACCUCCACAGCCCCCUCCCUCCAGUGAGGGAGGAAGCCCAACGAGGCGCGCUUGCAGAGGCAGAAGAGCUGGAGGACGGUGUGUGUUGGACGAGGCUGUGUUGGACGAGGCUGUGUUGGAUGAGGCUAGGUUGGACGAGGCUGUGUUGGAUGAGGCUAGGUUGGACGAGGCUGUGUUGGACGAGGCUGUGUUGGACGAGGCUGUGUUGGACGAGGCUGUGUUGGACGAGGCUGUGUUGGACGAGGCUGUGUUGGAUGAGGCUAGGUUGGAUGAGGCUGUGUUGGAC